GGGCCGCCGGGCCCGGCGAGGAGAACGCCCUCCUGCUGCUGGGCGGACGGCGAGGGCCAGGGGUUGCUGCUCGGCGGGCAUCCACGGGCUAGCGGGCACCUGCAGCGGGGAGAGCGGCGUGUUUUAGAAAGCAGAGACUUUCAUCUGGAAGAUGGCUGGAGGAAGUUGUAAAAGAUGAAGGAAGGGUUACCCCUCGCCUCUCCACACAAACAAGAAAUUGCUCGUCUUCCCCCCAAAGAACGAACUGGAUCUUGGCUCUUUGAAAGUGGAAGACUGAAGGCCAAACAAUGUUUGUUUAGAUAUUUAUGCCUGCUUUUCUCCCCGGUGGACCUGAAGUGCCUUACAACAUCAUUCUCCCCUCCUCCAUUUUAUCCUCUCAACAACAGCAUGGUUAGGUAGGUUUGGCUGAGAGAGUGUGAUUGGCCCAAGGUCACCCAUCAAGCUUCCAUGGCAGAGUGGGGAUUUGAACCUGGGUCUCUGAGAUCCUAGUCCAAAAAACUGUAAUCACUACCUUUCACCAACAGUCUUUUGGAACAGCAGAACUCUGCAUGUACUUACAUCAUCUCUUCAUUACCUAAAGGGCCAUGUAAAUUUCCCCCCCUUUUUUAAUCAUGAAAAGCAGUGUCUGGAUGCUGAAAGCAGGAGUGGGAAAAGAUCACUUCUCUUCUGCCCAACCCCUCACAGCUGCUUUUCCCCACUUGAGGAAAAGAUAUAUAUAUAUAUAUAUUCUGAGGGGAAAUAGCUGGGGAGAUUUUAAGAAGAAAACCACCUAGUAAGAGAAGUGUUCUGCUCUCCUUUGCAACUGUUUGUCCUUCGCUCGUGGCUGCAGCUUUUUACAGCUGCUUUUCAUUUGAAGAAGACACUUGGGAGAAAACUUCGAUGGGAUUCCCUCUGACGUGUAUUUAGGCUCCCAAACACUUGAUAUUUAAUCACAUCUCUGUAAUGCAUGGAUGUUUUGUAACAUGGUAUGACAGACAGGACUGACUCCAGCUCUGCCUCCCCUGAGAACAACCAAUGAGAGUGGGCAGAAUGUUGGGCCAGGGAGAGAUUGAGUUCAUUGGAGAGAGUGAGAGGCUAAGAGAAGGGUUUUGGACUCUGCUGAGAGAAGGCAGCAGAGAUAUAUGCUGGCUGAUUUCAAACCUGUUUGUUACAUUGAAGCAGUCCCUGUUUAACCCCAAUAUAUUUAUGAGUUAAAACCAUUCUCUCUUAUGUUCCAUCUUGUAAAUAAAGUUUCUUUUUGUUUUAUUUAA